rnacentral:rRNA from 1 species
AUUGAACGCUGGCGGCAGGCCUAACACAUGCAAGUCGAACGAGUGGCGGACGGGUGAGUAAUGUCUGGGAACCUGCCUGAUGGAGGGGGAUACCUACUGGAAAUGGUAGCUAAUACCGCAUACCAUCAGAUGUGCCCAGAUGGGAUUAGCUGGUUGGUAGGGUAACGGCCUACAAAGGCGACGAUCCCUAGCUUGUCUGAGAGGAUGACCAGCCAAACUGGAACUGAGACACGGUCCAGCAUCUGACGGGAGGCAGCAGGGGGGAAUAUUGCACAAUGGGCGCAAGCCUGAUGCAGCCAUGCCGCGUGUAUGAAGAAGGCCUUCGGGUUGUAAAGGACUUUCAGCGGGGAGGCGUUACCCGCAGAAUAAGCACCGGCUAACUCCGUGCCAGCCGCCGCGGUAAUAC